AGAAUUCUGGAAUCCAACUGGCUGCCCUGCUGUGGAGGACAAGUCCCUCUUGAAAGGACUCAGCUGUACUCUUUCUGAAAGCUAGAACAGUCUCUGCCAUGUCUCAGUUCUCCAAAGCAGAUAUGUUUUCAAAAGAUGCUCUAGAAGCCAGUCUAGCAACAGGAAAACCGAUUUACAGUUCAACCAUAGGCAAGUACACUAAGGAGGAAGUCCUACUGAUUUUCAUUAGACUUGCUCCCAGGUUACGGCAAUGUUUUAGAGCGAUGGCGGAAGAAAGGGAUACUUCAGAUGAGACUGCGAGACCGUUGGUCACCUAAAGAACAAGGAUA